AGCUGUUAUAUUUAUUAACCUGCAUUGAUUUUUUUUUCUUAAAAAGGAUAAAAAUAUUCUUGCCCUGGCCAUGUGGAACACGGACAGAUAAGCUAGAACUUGUCUUCCUGUGUGUCAGCCUAGGAGGAGGAAACAGGAGAGGAGCUGAGCACUUCCCAUUCUCACUGAAGCCAAGAGAAGUGCAGAUUUCCGUGACUCAAAAAAAUACCCAAAUGCCUUGGUAUCCAGCUGGUGCAAAUACACUGUGGUUGAUCUAACGCAACUGAACAGCUCAAGAUCCAAACACCUGACAGCAAGGAGAAUUGCUGUAGGAGUCUUUCAUAUCUAUGUAGAUGUUAGAGGCUGAUACUGUGUGGCGUGAGCCAGGAACCAGUGCAGCUGUAAGGAAACGGGUCCACCGGAGACUGCCCCAGUUUAUCUCACCUAUGCAGAGGUAUGAGCACUUGGAGCAGAUGAGGACCGGGAGGUAUGAGACCUGCUUACCCUGUAUGUUGAAACACACAACAAAAAUCACUUACACUUUUACUGUGUUUUACAUGAACCUAAAAAGCCUGGAAGGAGCUCUGUUAACUGUAGCUAAGUUUCAGAGAUAAGGAACAGUAACUGCAGUUUUAAGAUCAACCAAAAAUAUGCAUGAAAGAGUGUUGAUACGACCAAGUCAUUGUAAUGAACAAGGAUAGGUUAUGGCUUCCUUUAGCAGUUUAAAAACCCGGACUGUGGGAUUUGAACAGUUAAUGAAAAACACAGACAUGAGCUGUGGGUCUGUGAAAGACAUCGCUGAGAUCUAUUUCAAUGUAUUUUCAGCAGCAGAGAAGAUAAAAAUUGGUGAAUUUUGAAGGUGCAAUUUAAUCUUAGAUUCUGGUUCUUUUUUGCUGCAUGAUGUCACCAUAACCCCUAGGUGGUAU